ACAAACUUGGUCAUUUAGAGGAAGUAAAAGUCGUAACAAGGUUUCCGUAGGUGAACCUGCGGAAGGAUCAUUAUUGAAUAACUUUGGCGUGGUUGUAGCUGGCCCUCUCGGGGGCAUGUGCUCGCCCGUCAUCUUUAUAUUUCCACCUGUGCACUUUUUGUAGAUCAUUGUUUUUGGAAGCUGGAUUGAAGUCAGAGAUUACUCUCUGAUGAAUUGAAGGCUUUCUCAAUGAUGGUCUACGUUUUCAUAUACUCCAAUGAAUGUAACAGAAUGUAUCUAUAUGGCCUUGUGCCUAUAAAACAAUAUACAACUUUCAGCAACGGAUCUCUUGGCUCUCGCAUCGAUGAAGAACGCAGC
rnacentral:misc_RNA from 1 species